AAAGCAGGUUGCAAUUACAGUGCUUCAUUUUGUGGAAGUGCUGCCAUUAUCCUGCUGAAAGAAAGUCUUGUGUUGAUCAUUUUUGAUUUUGCCUAUAUGAGGGUAAAAUCAUUACAGAUUGACAUGGACAAUU
ensembl:snoRNA